rnacentral:rRNA from 1 species
ACGCUCGACACCUACGGAGGAGCAGUGAGGAAUAUUGGUCAAUGGACGCAAGUCUGAACCAGCCAUGCCGCGUGCAGGAUGACGGCUCUAUGAGUUGUAAACUGCUUUUGUACGAGGGUAAACGCAGAUACGUGUAUCUGUCUGAAAGUAUCGUACGAAUAAGGAUCGGCUAACUCCGUGCAGCAGCCGCGGUAAUCUGAGCGGGCUGGCAAGGC